UACGUAUGAUGCAAGCGUUAUCCGGAUUUACUGGGUGUAAAGGGAGCGCAGGCGGCACGGCAAGCCUGAUGUGAAAGCCCGCGGCCCAACCGCGGGACUGCAUUGGGAACUACCGGGCUGGAGUGCCGGAGAGGUAGGCGGAAUUCCUAGUGUAGCGGUGAAAUGCGUAGAUAUUAGGAGGAACACCAGUGGCGAAGGCGGCCUACUGGACGGUGACUGACGCUGAGGCUCGAAAGCGUGGGGAGCAAACAGG
rnacentral:rRNA from 1 species